AGAACGAACGCUGGCGGCAUGCCUAACACAUGCAAGUCGAACGAGACCUUCGGGUCUAGUGGCGCACGGGUGCGUAACGCGUGGGAAUCUGCCCUUAGGUACGGAAUAACAGUGAGAAAUUACUGCUAAUACCGUAUGAUGUCUUCGGACCAAAGAUUUAUCGCCUAGGGAUGAGCCCGCGUUGGAUUAGCUAGUUGGUGGGGUAAAGGCCUACCAAGGCGACGAUCCAUAGCUGGUCUGAGAGGAUGAUCAGCCACACUGGGACUGAGACACGGCCCAGACUCCUACGGGAGGCAGCAGUGGGGAAUAUUGGACAAUGGGCGAAAGCCUGAUCCAGCAAUGCCGCGUGAGUGAAGAAGGCCUUCGGUUGUAAAGCUCUUUUACCCGGGAAGAUAAUGACUGUACCGGGAGAAGUAAGCCCCGGACUAACUCCGCGCCAGCAGCCGC
rnacentral:rRNA from 1 species